CCGUUGUUGUGUUCAGUCCCCCUGGUGUCGACAUCCAACUUCUGCUUCACCUUGUGACAUAAACGAUGUAAAUAUCAUAAGCUUCACAUGACUUAAGGACCUGAGCAAGAAGCCCGCUGCUUCGACCACCGGUACAGCUGAGCAGACCGAUGUUUGGCAACGUCUGGACUCCAUUCAGAUGAUGGAGGCCUCCACUCAUACUGGAUGACACUAGCCCACAGUGACAAAACACUGCCAGCAGCUGAACCACUGACCUUUACAACAUUCAAACACCCUCAAUAACCCUAACUCUAACACACACACACACACACACACACACACACACACACCUGUUGGCUGAGGAUAGACUGCAGAUCAUAC